rnacentral:lncRNA from 10 species
GCCGCCGCCUCCCCACCCACUCCGCGCUCACCCCACAACCACUCCGCCUGGUCUUUCCCCGGCCCCACCUCCAUGCGCUCCUACUACUCUUUCAAACACUGCAGCAAGUUGCAGCAAGGCGGGCAAAUACCGACAGCGCGCGUGGGGGCGGGCGGCGGGCGCCGCGGGGCCCACCCCCUCCCCGGUCUCCCCGCGCCCUCGCCGCCUCCCGCGCUGGCUCUCACCGCAUGAGCAGCGUUCCCUCGGUCUAGCCCUUCAUCUCGGUGCUGCAGUCCCCUGGCCUCCCUCGCUGGAGGUGGUUCCGUGUGGAGCGUCCCACAGAUGUGGAUUUCCUCUCUGUCUUGGUGGGGUUCGGUGCCUAACUGGAACCAUGUGCCUCGGUGUUCGAAGAAAAGGAGCAGAGAGGAUGAUGCUGCAUUUUUAACACACCACACAGCAUGCAAGGGAUUUCCUCGCAACACCUUCCUCGCUGUGAUUCCACAGACCAGUCCGCUGCAGCUGAGGGCUGCGGAGACUCCAUCUAUCCCUGGUGCGUUGGGACCGUCUGGAUAGCUUCUUUCCUCUGAUGGCUGGAGAGGAGGCAUUUGCCAAUAGCAGUAGCCUGUGUGCGUGUGCGUGUGCGUGUGUGUGUAUUGAAAGUGAAGAUCUACAGGCAAUAUGAGGUUUCUCAUAACAUGUUACAUUCACUUUCUGUAUUCUUGAGAUUAAAGGACAGAAAGUUCCUAAAGCUGAUUUCAGUCCCCUUUUCCAGUGUCUCCUUCCACCCCUCACCCAUGAGGACUGUUUCAAGCCAUCUGGUUCAGGCUAAUUUUCCCCUGUGAGUGGAAUUCCAGAAACAGACACUUCCAGACACACCAGGUAGUUUUGCCUGAAAAAAAAGAGAGUCGGGUGGGUAGAGGGAAACCUAUUGGAGUCACUUGUAAAAAACAGUGAACCUCCUUCACUGUAUAAGAAAGAAAACCCCCACCAGAUACAAUUCCUCCUUCAGCACCCAAAAGUGUGAAGAUGAGGAUCUCAGCUUCAGAUCAGGUCAACUUCAAAAACUAAUAUUAAUAAGUGUGUGUUUGUGUGUGUGUGUGUGUGUGUGUGUGUGUGUGUAUAUAUAUAUAUGAAUUUUUUAGGGCAAACUCUAAAGUGUGAUUGUGAACUGGAGAUUUGCUUUCCAAAGUUUCUGUUCUUUUUGGAAUGACUUCAUAGAAAAGAUUGAGUUUCAAGAGAUGUUCUGUGCACAAUUUCUUAAUAACAGUGAAAGUGCCCAUUUUUAAUUAGAUACUUAGAAAGGGAACCAUCUAUGCAUACAAACAAGCUAAAGGACUCCUUGUCAUAAUAUAUACCUUUUAUUUUUUUCUACUGGAAUUGAUUCUUCAGUUAAGAGACCAAUGACACAGCAGAGAGCUCAGAAACAGCGACAAUGCUUAAGGAAAAGUGUCUAGAAGAAGGUGUCAUAUAUAAGAUUAAAUAAAAAUUCCGCCCUUUCUAAAUUGAAAGUGACCUUGGCGGCCAUUCUGUUUGAAUUUCUACUGAGUGCAGGAAUAGCUUCUAUAUUAUCUCUGGUAGUUCUCCAUCUGGCCCAUGCUACAACAUUCCCAAAUUCACAAAUUUUUCUAGGAAGCCCAUUCUAUUGUUACACUGCCUUUUCUUGUAUUCAGUCAAACUCAAUCUCUUUGCCACAUUCAUAGACUAGUCUUUCCUCUCCUUCAGUGGAGUCACUUUUGCAUGCCACUGUCAGAUCUUUUUCUCACUUUAUAUAAUGUAUUCCAUUAGUGACACAUGAUGGGAAAGUUUUGGCUAUACAGCAGAGAGGAAAUGUAUCUAUCGUCCAUUUUCUAUACCUUCGUUAUUACAUUAAAUAUACUUGGCUAUAUCCUCUACGUUAAAUUUUUUAAUAGCCUUUAUGCAAAAUAUGCAGUAAUAGAUUUUAGAAAUGGACAUUGUUGCAUAACUUAUCAAGUCCAUUUUAUAAGUAAGGACACUAGAAAUGACAGAGAUUAAGUGACUUCAAGGCCACCCUCAGAGUUCUCUGUAAAGCUGAGACUGGUCUCUGGCUAUCUUGCUUCUCAGCCCAUUUCAUUUCCUUCGGUAGCAUCAGGCAGCGUACUCUCUUCUCACAACAAACAAAUAUGUCAGUGUUAUUGUCUUUUUUCUUAUUCGCUUCAUUUCCCACACUUCCUUCUUCAAUAAAUUUAAUAGAAUUAGGGAAGAAUAAAGAUACCAAUGUAUAAUUGACUAAAUAAUGUAUGGUAUAUACCUGAGAUGAACCACUCUGACAUAAAUGUAAAUCAUGUUGUAGAAUUAUAAUGGCAUGGAAAUACAUUCACUGAAUGUUAACUGAAGAAUUAGGUGCAAUAUGAAACCAUUUUGCAAAAUAAAAAAUAUACACAUAGAAAAAAGAUGAAAGAUGCAUUAGAAUGUUUCCGUUUAUUGCUAGAUGAUGGGAUUGUGGGUGAACUUAUAAAAUAAUGCAUUUGCUAAUUUUAGAAUAGCUUUAAAUGAAAGGAAAUUGGCAGAUAGUGUAGAACAUUUCCUUAUAACCUAUGCUCAGUUUCUCCUAUUAUUAAUAUCUUACAUUAGUUUGGUAAAUUUUUGAAAUUAAAGAAUCAAUAUUAAUACAUUA